CUUAGGGAGUAGGGGUGUGCAGCCGACUCGUCCCGCCCCUGCCUCUGAGUGACAGGACCGUGGACAGCAACAUUUCCAGCGGGACACGAAGUUUGUCGGCCCUUGCCUUGGCUGAGCUAAGUAAGAAAAAACAACCAAGAGCAUUAUUAUUGGUAUCUGGAAUUGAAUUUUCCAGGAAUGCAAGCACGGCUUCUUCAGUAAAGAUCUUGCCUUUGGAAACAUCUUCCCCUUGGCAGCUCUCCAGAGUUCAGACUUGGCAGCAUCAAGGACACAACACAAGACUACAUGUCCAAAACGUGUUGGUAGGAAAGCUCAUGUACUUCCAUGACCCAGAUGCAGCAAUGGGAAGAGAGUGGCUAAUUACGCACUGAUACAUUGGUCAAAACAAAUUUCAAAAGGGGGACUAUGAAGUGCAAUAUUGUCUCUACUCAGAGGGAAAAGAGAAUUGGA